UUUUCAAAACUUUUGAACACG
rnacentral:piRNA from 1 species